rnacentral:rRNA from 1 species
CCUACGGGAGGCAGCAGUGGGGAAUUUUGGACAAUGGGCGCAAGCCUGAUCCAGCCAUGCCGCGUGCAGGAUGAAGGCCUUCGGGUUGUAAACUGCUUUUGUACGGAACGAAAAGUCUCUUUCUAAUAAAGAGGGAUCAUGACGGUACCGUAAGAAUAAGCACCGGCUAACUACGUGCCAGCAGCCGCGGUAAUACGUAGGGUGCGAGCGUUAAUCGGAAUUACUGGGCGUAAAGCGUGCGCAGGCGGUUAUAUAAGACAGUUGUGAAAUCCCCGGGCUCAACCUGGGAACUGCAUCUGUGACUGUAUAGCUAGAGUACGGUAGAGGGGGAUGGAAUUCCGCGUGUAGCAGUGAAAUGCGUAGAUAUGCGGAGGAACACCGAUGGCGAAGGCAAUCCCCUGGACCUGUACUGACGCUCAUGCACGAAAGCGUGGGGAGCAAACAGGAUUAGAUACCCUGGUAGUCCACGCCCUAAACGAUGUACACUGUUGUUGGUAACUUCUACUUUCUCAGUAACGAGCUAACGCGUGAGUUGACCGCGUGGGAGUACGGCCGNGAAGGUUGAAACGUUAAGAGUAGUCGACGNGAGAGAGACGACGACGACGACGAGGAGGAGG